rnacentral:rRNA from 1 species
UACGGGGGGGGCAAGCGUUGUUCGGAAUUACGGGGCGUAAAGGGUUCGUAGGUGGCUUGCUAAGUCAGACGUGAAAUCCCUCAGCUUAACUGGGGAACUGCGUCUGAGACUGGUGAGCUUGAGUGCAGGAGAGGAACGCGGAAUUCCAGGUGUAGCGGUGAAAUGCGUAGAUAUCUGGAGGAACACCGGUGGCGAAGGCGGCGUUCUGGACUGCUACUGACACUGAGGAACGAAAGCCAGGGGAGCAAACGGG